UCAUUUUGGCAGUGCAUGUAUUAAAACUGAAGUGAUACAAAUAGGGUUAGCAUGACCCCUGCACAAGGAGGACAAAGAUAUCCACAAAGCAUUCCACAUUUUG